UACAGAGGGGGCUAGCGUUGUUCGGAAUUACUGGGCGUAAAGAGCUCGUAGGCGGUGUGUCGCGUCGGCCGUGAAAACCUGCAGCUUAACUGUGGGCUUGCGGUCGAUACGGGCAUCACUGGAGUUCGGCAGGGGAGACUGGAAUUCCUGGUGUAGCGGUGAAAUGCGCAGAUAUCAGGAGGAACACCGGUGGCGAAGGCGGGUCUCUGGGCCGAUACUGACGCUGGAGGCGCGGAAAGCUAGGGGAGCAAACGGG
rnacentral:rRNA from 1 species